AAGAACCAACAGGGAUUGCCUCAGUAACGGCGAGUGAAGCGGCAACAGCUCAAAUUUGAAAUCUGGCUCCUUCGGGGUCCGAGUUGUAAUUUGGAGAAGAUGCUUCGGGUGUGGUCCCGGCCUAAGUUCCUUGGAACAGGACGUCACAGAGGGUGAGAAUCCCGUACGUGGCCGGUGGCCGCCCCCGUGUGAAGCUCUUUCGACGAGUCGAGUUGUUUGGGAAUGCAGCUCAAAAUGGGUGGUAAAUUUCAUCUAAAGCUAAAUAUUGGCCAGAGACCGAUAGCGCACAAGUAGAGUGAUCGAAAGAUGAAAAGCACUUUGGAAAGAGAGUUAAACAGUACGUGAAAUUGUUGAAAGGGAAGCGCUUGCAACCAGACUUGCGCGCGGUCGAUCAUCCGGUGCUCGCACCGGUGCACUCGGCCGCGCGCAGGCCAGCAUCGGUUUGGGCGGCUGGAUAAAGGCCCUGGGAACGUGGCCCCCCUCGGGGGGUGUUAUAGCCUAGGGUGCAAUGCAGCCUGCCCGGACCGAGGACCGCGCUCCGGCUAGGAUGCUGGCGUAAUGGUUGUAAGCGACCCGU
rnacentral:rRNA from 1 species